UACGGAGGGUGCGAGCGUUGUCCGGAAUCACUGGGCGUAAAGGGCGCGUAGGCGGCGCGAGUAGUCAACGGUGAAAGCUCGGGGCUCAACCCCGAGUCGGCCGUGCGAACUGCUGGGCUGGAGCACUGUAGAGGCAGGCGGAAUUCCGGGUGUAGCGGUGGAAUGCGUAGAGAUCCGGAAGAACACCGGUGGCGAAGGCGGCCUGCUGGGCAGUGGCUGACACUGAGGCGCGACAGCGUGGGGAGCAAACAGG
rnacentral:rRNA from 1 species